GGGCGCUGGCGCGGGGUUGGGGCAGGCGCGGGCCGGGGGGAGGUGGGAGCGGCGCCGGGCGUGGCCCGUGUGUCGCCGCCACGGAAUGGCUUCUCCCGCUGCCGCCCGGCGUGGGGCCUGUCCUAGUUUGUCUCCGGCAGGGGAGCGUCAAGCGCACAGGCAAAUUCAGUCCUGAAUGAUAGAAGUUUCCUCGUUAGCAGCUCAGCUUCCUAAUUCAAUGGUUGCACACCCUUUGUAGAAAGCGCUGAGGCGCCGGCUCACGCUGUCAGGCGCUGGCCGUCGCGUCUUCGUGGCCAUCCCACCCCUGCUCCCGCACCUUGUGCUGCCUGACUCGGUGUUACCAAGGGUCGGAGGGAACAAACACACCCAAGGGGAAAAACCGACAGCCUCCACCCACGCUUUGGUGUUUGGGUUUGGCUACAUUAAACUUGGAUGCAAACAACGACAAUUAAAAUAAUGCCGCACAUAUUGUCACAAUGUUUCACGUAAACCCUGGAACGUUGCUGUACUUUCUCUUCCAAGUAUUUCAACACUGUCAGUGCAAUACAAAGGCGCUGGAAAUGCGUGUUGACUGACAGAAUCGUGUACAAAUACAUGUUUGAAAAGCAGGCAGUGCAUAGGUCACACGGCUUUGGGAUCGGCUGGGUUUGCAUUGCAGCAGUACUGUUGUGAUCCAAACAGAAACAGUGACUUUCUGUUUAAUUUCCUGGAUUGUCUGAAAUGGGCAUUUGAUACCUAUUGUGUAUGCAAUAUGCCACUUUAACAGUCCUGGAGCCCGGAGUUCUGCUCAGCCACAACACAGGACAUGAAGCUGACAGCAGGGUGGAUUUGUACAUGCUGCUCACCUUAUGCUCCUUAAUUGUGCUCAGCAGAGACCAGUCUAAGGACAGAGCAUGGGAGAGCUGGUGAAUUCUGAGAAACACUUGGGACAUGGAAGAGCGUUUCAUAUGGUGGAGAGUAGAAAAAAAAGUGGUGUUAAGGUUUCAUCUACUGUUUUACUCCACCAAAAGAUACUUUUCUAUAUCUUUACAUGGCAGGUAUAUUCUAUAGCAUUCUUCCACAGGAGGAAGAAAAUAGCGACUCUUCAGGCCAAAAAAGUGAAAAAGUUGUCUCUUAACUAAUUUUUAUUCCUGCAAACAAACAAAAGCAUUCAACAGAGAGCUUGACUUUACCAAGAGUGAAGUGCGCUUUAGUCUAGAGGUGUAAUUAUUAAAAUUUCUAGGAAAAAAUACUUAAAAUCUUUUACUUUCUUAAACUAAAGUGAAAAUGCAUAGCUUCUGAUUAACCAUGCUAUUAGCAAUGUAGCAGACUUUACGUCUGAACAUCAUGACACCAUCAACUCAACCCAUUUUCAUGAAUAUUUCCAACUGUUGUGAUUAAACAGCAUACAUUCAGAUUAAACAGACACAUAGCUCAGAUGAGAGAGACCUUUAAUGAAUUUUGAUACUGUGGGAUAUAAACUAGAUAAGGUUUGUAGAAAAGGUGAUACCUUUCAUUAGAUAAACUGAUAGAAAUGGAAAAAAUAAAGUUUUUGACUUGACUGACA
rnacentral:lncRNA from 1 species